UCCGAAUUGGUGUAGUGGCUAACAUUUGACGCUCUCAAGGUUGGAAUAUUACCGUUGACCCGUCAAGCCCGGGGUUCGAUUCCCCGAUUCGGAG